CGGGAUUCUUGGUCUCCGUGGAGACGGCUACUCCUAGCGACCUAACAGGCGUUGAGCAGAGUUGCUGGCCUGAUGGACGCGGAGAGCCUCCUCCUGUCGCUGGAGCUGGCGUCGGGCAGUGGGCAGGGCCUCAGCCCCGACCGCCGGGCCUCGCUGCUCACUUCCCUCCUGCUAGUGAAGCGCGACUACCGAUACGAUCGGGUCCUGUUUUGGGGUCGCAUCCUCGGCAUCGUCGCGGAUUACUACAUCGCGCAGGGCCUGAGUGAGGACCAGCUCGCACCACGCAAGACACUCUACAGCCUGAACUGCACCGAUUGGAGCCUCUUGCCCCCCGCCACAGAGGAGACGAUGGCACAGACAGCCAUGGUGAAGGGUCGCUUCAUGGGGGACCCAUCACAUGAGUAUGAACACACCGAAAUCCAGAAAGUGAAUGAGGGUGAGAAGAUCUUUGAAGAAGAAGUAGUGGUCCAGGUCAAGGAAGAGACCCGCUUGGUGUCCAUCAUUGACCAGAUUGACCAGGCUGUGGCCAUCAUCCCCCGAGGUGCCCUCUUCAAGACCCCUUUUGGACCCUCUAAUGUUAACCGAACUUUUGAAGGACUGUCCUUGUCUGAAGCCAAGAAGCUCAGCUCUUACUUCCACUUCAGGGAGGCUAUCGACUUGAAGAAUAAGACCUUGCUUGAGAAGGCUGACCUGGACCCCUCCCUGGACUUCAUGGACUCUUUGGAGCAUGACAUCCCCAAAGGAUAUGUGGGAUGUUCCCCUGGAAGAUCAUUUGCCACUCAAUUAUUCCACUUGGUGGUCCACACAGGCUGAGGAGCUGGCAGGAAACAGCAGCACCUAAGGACAGGAUGUCACAGACACCCUUUGUCAGAGGGUCUUGCAAGCAGGUUUGUAUUGCUGACCUUCCUGCAGAUCAGUGACUAGCGAGGCAUCUGGGGGUCAGAGGAUGGAGCGGAAGAGAAGACUUUCCAUCAUCGUAAACCACUUGGAAAAAUGGGUAGGCAAUAGCAAGACUCAAUGACCCCCUCCUCUUCACCCCCCCCCCAGGAGGUUCUCUGUCUGUUCCUCCAUAGGUUUCCAGAUUAACUGCCCACAUCCAUGUAGUGAGAGCUUCCCUGAACAUUGGAGGUGACAGGAGAGGUGACAGGAGAGGUGACAGGACUUCAGGACAAAGUACAACUAUAGCGCUUUGAGCUGAUCACUCCUUCCUUUGUCUGGAGCUACUGCUGGCUCCCGGCUGCCUUUCCACCCCCACUCUGUCCCUCCUUCCCCUUCCCCAUCUCCACGAACACCUUCCCCUUCCUUCUAGGUGCCUUCUGAACUGCCUCCGGAGUCACAGGCCUGGCCACCCAUGGGGCUGCCUUUGCCCCUCCACUAGGAGCCCCCAUGAUCUCUGUCUGAGCUGCUCUGGAAUCCACUCUCUCCCAAUUUGCAGGGUGACCUUGAGUCCCUUGUUCCAUUUCUGGGCCUGUGGGAGAUCCUCUGGGAAGAUAGUCUACCCUGAUGCCCCUUGUUCUGCUGUGACCUGGGGAGGGAGAAUGAGUGGAAUGAAGCUUGUUCAGUUCUAGAAGAGUCACUGCUUGAGGAGACAGUCUCAUGAGUCUUAAGAUUACUUUGUCUCUCUCCUCCCUUUUUAAAGACCCAAGUGACUUGAACUUUUAAUUCGAUGACAAUAUGGACAUUGGCUGGGUCCAGUGUUAUGUGUAUCCCUGUGAAAGCUAGUGACACCACACUGGAACAUGGGAUCCAGAGUUGGGUCCUCCUCUGACUCACCAUCAGGUUGUCUCCAAAAAGCAGGGUGGAGGUGGGAGGCCCCUCCCCUCCCUAGUACAGGUUGCUCAAACCCCCUCAGGCCAGAUUGCAACCCUAGCUCUAUCUAAAGGGAAUUGUGCAUCGUCAUUGCCCUGGGCCCACAGGGUGAUCCUGGAAUAGGAAUAGGAGGUUUUAACACUCCUUGCAGUAUAUCCCACAGGGCAUGGCAGGCUCAGGUUGUGGGGGGCUGGGUGCAAAGUGAUGAUUAAUGGCUAACUUUCCUUAGAACUCUUCCAGCCUCCUUCCAACUUCAGGGUCUUUU